rnacentral:rRNA from 1 species
UGGGGAAUCUUGCGCAAUGGGCGAAAGCCUGACGCAGCGACGCCGCGGGAGUGAUGAAGGCCUUCGGGUUGUAAAGCUCUGUGGGGAGAGAAGAAUAAGUCGUAGGGAAUAUCUACGAUGAUGACGGUAUCUCCUUAGCAAGCACCGGCUAACUCUGUGCCAGCAGCCGCGGUAAGACAGAGGGUGCAAACGUUGUUCGGAAUUACUGGGCGUAAAGCGUGUGUAGGCGGUGAGGUAAGUCAGGUGUGAAAUCCCACGGCUCAACCAUGGAAGUGCACUUGAAACUGCUUCGCUUGAGUACUGGAGAGGUUGGUGGAAUUCUUGGUGUAGAGGUGAAAUUCGUAGAUAUCGAGAGGAACACCCGUGGCGAAGGCGGCUUUCUGGACAGCGAUUGACGCUGAGACGCGAAAGCGUGGGGAGCAAACA